GGACCUCUACUAAUACAAGAACGCUGGACCUGCGAUUGCCAAUCUGUUUUUGAAGCAACUCGAAUUUGCCAUUUUGGUGCUGAUAGGCAGCAGUUAGCGUCAUGUGAACAGCACUCGGAACUAAAUCCUGACAACAUA